GCACAGUAAGAACUUUUAAGAGUUAAUUAUAAUCAGAGGUAUAUAUGUGGGCUUGGGCUGUUUAUGUUAAAUUAUAUUGAAACCUAACUUGCUUGCCUCCUUCUCAUUUGGUGGUGGUAAUAUUUUGGUGCUGGGGAUUGAACCCAGGGCCUGUACUCACUGGUGAUGUCUGGAAUUUGUAAAGUAAGUUGGUCUAAUAAUUAAUAUGAAAGCCUUUAAUUCUUAUGUAUUUUACUCAGUGUCUGAAAAGGGAAGACUACACAUCUUUUUUUUUUUUUUUUUUGGUACCGGGGAUUGAACUCAGGGGCACUUAACCACUGAGUCACAUCCCCAGUCCUAUUUUGUAUUUUUAUUAGAGACAGGGUCUCACUGAGUUGCUUAGCUCCCUGCUUUUUGCUGAGGUUGGCUUUGAACUUGUGAUCCUCCUGCCUCAGCCUCCCCAGCCAUUGGGAUUACAGGCAUGUGCCACUACUCCUGGCUUACACAUCAUCUUAUAGAGUAAUUUGGAUAUUGCUGCUCUAGAAUCCCUGCCUUUUGGCAAGUUGCAACCUUCAUUGUUGGCAAUUAUGCUUUUAGAAAUGCUUACAGUAAACGGAACUUAAUGUCAAAAUCUACAAAAGCUGUUUCUGUUAAAAUAGUGAUACAAAUACUCAUAAUGGCUGGAAUGGAAGUUAAACACAGAAGUUAGUCAAGAGAAUUUGCUGAUUUGCAUUUAAGUAUCAGUCAUUUUUGGUUUAAAGUGGGGUGAGUUUUAGGAUUAUAUAAAAUAAGAAUUUUGCACAUAGUCUAGUUGGAGAGACAAGAUCUUGACUUGUGCUGCUCAGCCUCGAAACAUUAUUUGUAUCUCUGAGUCUUCAUUUUCUCACUUGAAAAUAGGGAUAAUGACACAAUCUUAGAAUUCUUUUGAGAGAUAAAUGAAAUAGUGUUUGUGAACAGGUAAGAGCAUAACCUUCACAUGUAUUAACAUUUUUUUCUGUCCUCCGUAGUCUAGUGAUGUAUGAUUUGUUCACAUUGUAGCAGUGUUUCAUGGUAGCAGUAAUUCUCAGACAGUGUAUGUUAAGUGUAUUAAUAGUAAUGUGGAUAGUAAGUGUCAGGAAGAAUCUGAGACAGGAAAUCACUGGCCUGGGGGUAUUAAAAGGAAGAUUUUAUGGAAGACUAUAGAUCUGAAUGGAGCUUUUAAGGAUGAUCAUACUUUCAGGUAUGUGAAGGACAGAGAGUGAGAGCGCACAGAUGGGAAAUGUGAUCAACAAAGGGAAGAAUUCUGUAAAAGCUCAUGUUGUGUUGUUGUGAAUACAUAAAUAAAUACAUGGACAAUUGUAAGAGCAAGUACAUAGCCUCAUAUGCCAUUACAGACAGUAGGUAUAGAAUUAGUAUAUAAUUGUAAAGCAUCCAUAGCUUAGGGCAGUACAAACUAAGCUUUUAUUCCCUUACUUACCUAUAAAUAUUUAAAUAUUUGUUUAUAAAAUACAUAUGUGAACUCUUACCAUUAGCCUAUCUCUCAAAGUGUACAAUAUUCCCUUAGUAAAGUUUAUUGUUAUAGUAUUUAAAUCUAUUUAAGUGAUGUUUUAAUAAUUUCUUAUAUUUUGACUGACUUGAAAGAUGUGACUAAAUUGUCAUUGUUUCUACCUUAGAUGUUACCAAGAAGAGAAGAAAUGUGAUCUCUGCUAUUUCAUGAUUGGCAUUUGCUAUUAUUUUUGAUAUUAUAUUUAGUCCAAGGGAAUUGCUGAUUUGAGUUAGUCCUGAAUCUAUAAAUCCACUUAACUGGGCACAUACACACCCCAGGCCAGUGAUUUCUUGCCUCAGAUUCUUCCUGACACUUACUAUCCACAUUACUAUUAGUACACUUAACAUACACUGUCUGUAUCAUCAUACACUUAAAUUAAUAAAUGAGGACCACUGUCAACCCCUUCUCAUUGUGAAACUUUGGUAUUUCUUACAGGGUACCUUUCGGACCAGGCAGGGGUAUCAGUGUCAUUUUGAAUGUUAAAUGUUAGUGAAGCUCAAUUUUUUUUCUUUUGGACACUGAAACUAGAGUGGUAUUCCUCAGACUGGUUUUUUUGGCCACCUGCAUCAGAAUUACUUGGGGAUGCUGGUUAAAAUAGUAAUUUCUGGGCUCUCCCUACACCUUCUUCAGGUGACUGAAGUUGACACUUGCUGGCUAGUUUAGAGCUUGGUGACAUUAUGUGGUUUAGAUCAUUUAAAACAUUAGGGAGGGCUGGGGAUGUGGCUCAAGUGGUAGCGCACUCGCCUGGCAUGCGUGUGGCUCGGGUUCGAUCCUCAGCACCACAUACAAAAAAAGAUGUUGUGUCCGCUGAAAACUAAAAAAUAAAUAUUAAAAAAUAAUAAUAAAAUAAAUAAAACAUUAGGGAGAUAGGGUCUUAAAAACUUUCAUUAUAAGAUACUUUUUUUUUUUUUUUUUUUUUUUUAAGGUAGGGAAUUUGAGUAAGCUUAUGUCUGGAUGGAAAAGUGCCCCCUCUUGGCUGGGCAUGGUAACACAUGCCCGAAAUCCCAGUGGCUUGGAAGGCUGAAGCAGGAGGAUUGCAAGUUCAAAGCCAGGCUCAGCAAUUUAGCCAGGCUCAGCAAUUUAGCGAGGCUCUAUCUCAAAAUAAAAUAUAAAAACUGGCUGGGGUUGUGGCUUGGUGGUUAAGCACCUCUGGGUUCAAUCCCCAGUACACCCCCCCAUCCCUGGCGCAAAACAACAAAUCUGUUCCUGUUAGAACCCUCACUGGAUUGAAAAUUAGAGAAUUUGCAUUUUUUAAAUUUCAAAAUUUGUUUUGUAAUUUUUUUUAUUAGGUAGAAAUUAAAGGUGGAGCACAUGAUUAUUACAAUGUUCUACCCAACAAGAGCCUAUGGAAAGCUUACAUGGAGAAUGGAGAAAAGCUGGGAAUAGAGUUCAUUUCAGAAGAUACAAUGCUGAAUGACACUUCAGGUAAUUAAGUUCUUUUAUUGUAUUUCGAGCUACCUGAGGAUGAGUAAUGCCAUCUUCAAUUAAAUGGUUUUGGAGGUAAGGAAGUACUGCUGAUGUUUUUAAUGACAUUUUCACAAACUUAAUGGUUGGGGAAAACUAAUGGAUUCUUCAGUGAAUAUAGACUGUCAAGUUAGCAGACUUGUUUUUAUAAGUAGCCAACCUAGUUUUUGAUCUGUUUUCUGAAUAUUUCUAGUGUUUCAGUUUCCUUAGUUCUAAUUUUUGAAUAAGCUACUAAAAUGGGAUAUAGAAUUUUUUUAUUGGUUGUUCAAAACAUUACAAAGCUCUUGACAUAUCAUAUUUCAUACAUUAGAUUCAAGUGGGUUAUGAACUCCCAUUUUUACCCCAAAUACAGAUUGCAGAAUCACAUCAGUUACACAUCCACAUUUUUACAUAAUGCCCUAUUAGUAACUGUUGUAUUCUGCUACCUUUCCUAUCCUCUACUAUCCCCCCUCCCCUCCCCUCCCAUCUUCUCUCUCUACCCCAUCUACUGUAAUUCAUUUCUCUCCUUGUUUUUUUCCCAUUCCCCUCACAACCUCUUGUAUGUAAUUUUGUAUAACAAUGAGGGUCUCCUUCCAUUUCCAUGCAAUUUCCCUUUUCUCUCCCUUUCCCUCCCACCUCAUGUCUCUGUUUAAUGUUAAUCUUUUCCUCCUGCUCUUCCUCCCUGCUCUGUUCUUAGUUGCUCUCAUUAUAUCAAAGAAGACAUUUGGCAUUUGUUUUUUAGGGAUUGGCUAGCUUCACUUAGCAUAAUCUGCUCUAGUGCCAUCCAUUUCCCUGCAAAUUCCAUGAUUUUGUCAUUUUUUAGUGCUGCAUAAUACUCCAUGGUGUAUAAAUGCCACAUUUUUUUAUCCAUUCAUCUAUUGAAGGGCAUCUGGGUUGGUUCCACAGUCUAGCUAUUGUGAAUUGUGCUGCUAUGAACAUCGAUGUGGCAGUAUCCCUGUAGUACGCUCUUUUAAGGUCUUCAGGGAAUAGUCUGAGAAGGGCAAUAGCUGGGUUAAAUGGUGGUUCCAUUCCCAGCUUUCCCAGGAAUCUCCAUACUGCUUUCCAAAUUGGCCGCACCAAUUUGCAGUCCCACCAGCAAUGUACAAGAGUACCCUUUUCCCCACAUCCUCNNNNNNNNNNNNNNNNNNNNNNNNNNNNNNNNNNNNNNNNNNNNNNNNNNNNNNNNNNNNNNNNNNNNNNNNNNNNNNNNNNNNNNNNNNNNNNNNNNNNNNNNNNNNNNNNNNNNNNNNNNNNNNNNNNNNNNNNNNNNNNNNNNNNNNNNNNNNNNNNNNNNNNNNNNNNNNNNNNNNNNNNNNNNNNNNNNNNNNNNNNNNNNNNNNNNNNNNNNNNNNNNNNNNNNNNNNNNNNNNNNNNNNNNNNNNNNNNNNNNNNNNNNNNNNNNNNNNNNNNNNNNNNNNNNNNNNNNNNNNNNNNNNNNNNNNNNNNNNNNNNNNNNNNNNNNNNNNNNNNNNNNNNNNNNNNNNNNNNNNNNNNNNNNNNNNNNNNNNNNNNNNNNNNNNNNNNNNNNNNNNNNNNNNNNNNNNNNNNNNNNNNNNNNNNNNNNNNNNNNNNNNNNNNNNNNNNNNNNNNNNNNNNNNNNNNNNNNNNNNNNNNNNNNNNNNNNNNNNNNNNNNNNNNNNNNNNNNNNNNNNNNNNNNNNNNNNNNNNNNCUGCAAAUAGUGAUAAUUUAAGUUCUUCUUUUCCUAUUUUUAUGCCUUUAAUUUCUUUCGUCUGUCUAAUUGCUCUGGCCAGUGUUUCGAGAACUAUAUUGAAUAGAAGUGGUGAUAGAGGGCAUCCCUGUCUUGUUCCAGAUUUUAGAGGGAAUGCCUUCAAUUUUUCUCCAUUCAGAAUGAUGCUAGCCUGAGGCUUAGCAUAGAUAGCUUUUACAAUGUUGAGGUAAGUUCCUGUUAUCCCUAGUUUUUCUAAUGUUUUGAACAUAAAGGGAUGCUGUACUUUGUCGAAUGCUUUUUCUGUGUCUAUUGAGAUGAUCAUAUGGUUCUUAUUUUUAAGUCUAUUGAUGUGGUGAAUAACAUUUAUUGAUUUCCGUAUAUUGAACCAUCCUUGCAUCCCAGGGAUGAAUCCUACUUGAUCAUGGUGCACAAUUUUUUUGAUGUGCCUUUGUAUCCAAUUCGCCAGAAUUUUAUUGAGGAUUUUUGCAUCUAGGUUCAUUAGGGAUAUUGGUCUGUAGUUUUCUUUCUUUGAGGUGUCUUUGUCUGGUUUCGGAAUCAGGGUGAUGUUGGCCUCAUAGAAUGAAUUUGGAAGAGCUCCCUCUUUUUCUAUUUCCUGAAAUAACUUGAAAAGUAUUGGUAUUAAUUCUUCUUUAAAGGUUUUGUAAAACUCCGCUGUAUACCCAUCCGGUCCUGGGCUUUUCUUGGUUGGUAGUCUUUUGAUUGCUUCUUCUAUUUCAUCCAUUGAUAUUGGUCUGUUCAAAUUGUGUGUAUCCUCCUGACUCAGUCUGGGCAAAUCAUAUGACUUAAGAAAUUUAUCGAUGUCUUCACUAUCUUCUAUUUUAUUGGAAUAUAGGUUUUCAAAAUAAUUUCUAAUUGUCUUCUGUAUUUCUGUAGCAUCUGUUGUGAUAUUGCCUUUUUCAUCCCGUAUGUUAGUAAUUUGAGUUCUCUCUCUUCUUCUCUUCGUUAGCAUGGCUAAGGGUCUGUCGAUCUUAUUUAUUUUUUCGAAGAACCAACUUUUAGUUUUGUUAAUUUUUUCAAUAGUUUCUUUUGUUUCAAUUUCGUUGAUUUCCGCUCUGAUUUUAAUUAUUUCUUGCCUUCUGCUACAUUUGCUGUUGUUUUGCUCUUCCUUUUCUAGGGCUUUGAGAUGAAGUGUGAGCUCAUUUAUUUGUUGGUUUUUCCUUUUUUUGAGGAAUGACCUCCAGGCGAUGAAUUUCCCUCUUAAAACUGCUUUCAUUGUGUCCCAUAGAUUCCGAUAUGUUGUGUCUGUAUUUUCAUUUAUCUCUAAGAAUUUUUUGAUUUCCUCCUUUAUGUCUUCUGUAACCCAUUGAUCAUUCAGUAACAUAUUGUUCAUUUUCCAUGUGAUGUAGGAUUUUUCCUUCCUUCUUUUAUCAUUGAUUUCCAGUUUCAUUCCAUUAUGAUCAGAUAAAAUGCAUGGUAUUAUCUCCACCCCUGUAUAUUUACUGAGGGUUGCCCUAUGGCAUAAUAUAUGGUCUAUUUUUGAGAAGGAUCCAUGUGCUGCUGAGAAAAAAGUAUAUCCACUUGAUGAUGGUUGAUAUAUUCUAUAUAUGUCAGUUAAGUCUAGGUUAUUGAUUGUGAUAUUGAGUUCUAUAGUUUCUUUAUUCAACUUUUGUUUGGAGGAUCUGUCCAAUGGUGAGAGAGGUGUGUUGAAGUCACCCAUAAUUAUUGUGUUGUGGUCUAUUUGAUUCUUGAACUUGAGGAGAAUUUGUUUUAUGAACGUCGCAGCACCAUUAUUUGGUGCAUAAAUAUUGAUAAUUGUUAUGUCUUGUUGGUGAAUGGUUCCUUUUAACAGUAUAUAAUGUCCUUCCUUAUCCCUUUUGAUUAAUUUAGUCUUGAAGUCAAUUUUAUUCGAUAUGAGGAUGGCCACCCCUGCUUGCUUACGAGGACCGUGUGCGUGGUAUAUUUUUUCCCAACCUUUCACCUUCAGCCUGUGUAUGUCUUUUCCAAUCAGAUGUGUCUCCUGGAGGCAGCAUAUUGUUGGAUUUGUUUUUUUAAUCCAUGUUACCAGCCUAUGUCGCUUUAUUGGAGAGUUUAAGCCAUUAAUGUUUAGAGUUACUAUUGAUAUAUGGUUUGUACUUCCAGCCAUGUUUGAUUAUUUAUCUUCUUUUUUUUUUUUUUUUAAUUUAGUUUGUUUCUCCAUGGUUAGCUUUCCCCCCGCCCUCUGUCUUUAUAGAGGCACUUCCCACUGAUGGUUUUGGUUAUUGUUUUUCAUUUCUUCCUCGUGUAGUGUUUUGCUCAAGAUGCUUUGCAAUGCUGGUUUUCUGGCUGCAAAUUCUUUUAACUUUUGUUUAUCAUGAAAGAUUUUUAUUUCGUUGUCGUACCUGAAGCUUAAUUUUGCUGGAUACAGAAUUCUUGGUUGGCAUCCAUUGUCUUUCAGUGUUUGAAAUACGUUGUUCCAGGAUCUUCUCGCUUUCAGCGUCUGUGAUGAAAAAUCCGUUGUUAACCUUAUUGGUUUACCCCUGAAUGUAAUCUGCCUCCUUUCUCUUGUAGCUUUUAAUAUUUUCUCUUUGUUCUGUAUAUUGGAUAUCUUCAUAACAAUGUGUCUUGGCAUUGGUCUACUGUGAUUUUGUAUGCUCCGUGUCCUGUAUGCAUUUACAAUUUGUAUAUCCGUUUCCUUUUUUAUUUCUGGAAAGUUUUCUGUAAUUAUUUCAUUCAUCAGGUUACUCAUUCCCUUGGUUUGAACCUCUAUACCUUCCUCUAUCCGGAUGACUCUUAAGUUUGGUUUUUUUAUGUUAUCCCAUAUCUCUUGGAUGUUUUUCUUGUGAUUUUUUACCAGCCUUUCUGAGUUGGUUAGACUCUUUUCAAGAUGAUAUAUUUUGUCUUCAUUAUCUGACGUUCUGGCUUCUACUUGCUCCACUCUGUUAGUGAUACUCUCAUUUGAGUUUUUAAUUUGGUUUAUAGUUUCCUUCAUUUCUAAAAUUAUUGUUUGAUUUUUUUUAUAAUCGCUAUCUCCUGAUAAAGAUGCUUAACUUCUUCUUUUAUCUGUUUAUGUAAUUCAUUUUUAAUGUGUUCUUUCACUGUUUGAAUUUGCUGUCUCAUAUCCUCUUUAAGGUUCCAUUCCAUCUGUCUAAGGUAUUCCUUGAGUUCUUUAUAUGACCAUUUUUCUGAUGACUCUAGGUCCUCCUGACUAUUUAGGCUGUCCUGCGUUGUUUGUACUCCUUUUCUUCCUUGCUUUUUCAUGCUGCUCAUGUUACUUCUUGUUCUGUUUGACUGCUGAGUUACUGUUUACUCCUAUAAAUUUAUUUGAUGCUUGGGAGGAAAGGUAUUAGAAGGGAAGGGAAGAAGUGAGUAAAGAGAAUGAGAGUAAGCAGGUAGAAUUCAAGGAAGGGGGAAUAAGAAAAUUGAAAAGAAAUGAAAAGACAAAAGAAAAAAAAUAGAAAAUAAAAAAAGAAAAAAAAUUAAAAAAAAAUAAAUUAAAAUUAAAAAAGAAAAUAAAAAAAUUAAAAAACAACAAAAAAAAUGAAAAUGAAAAAAAACCGCAAAUUAAAAAAAAUUAAUAAAUGCAGUCUUAGAGUUUGAUUAACUUCUCUUCCAGUAGGUGGAGCUGUGCCCUCUCAAUACGCGGGAACCAAUCACUGUGCAGCAGCUCCUCCUCCCAGACUGGGCGGGUCUCCAAUCCUGAGUGCCUAGGGCGUUCUCUUGUGUCUAGUCACUUCCCCACUUUUCCUCAAGCCAGGCCCCGCUCACCAGUGACGCUCACCACAAUACUGGCUACACGCCAGGUCUGCUGCUCCCAGGAGCCCUGUUUUCAUGAACUACUGGGCACACUCUCCCUGUUUGCCAUUCCCUCAGACCCUAAGUUUUUAGAGCUUGGGGCUGAGAACCCUCAGUAAAUUUUGCUAGCCCUCCAGUAGCCACGCCCCCGGUAGCUGGUGCAAGAGACCUCAGUUGUCAGCACUGGUGGGAGCGGUAGCCGGGAGUUCCGCGCCGCGGGUCCCGCGCCACUCCUGAUUCCCUUGGUCUGGCUAUCGCGCUCACGGGAGAGCUGGGAGGGGCCCUUAAGGUUUCCCUGCUGUGUGGAGAGGGAAGGCUAGGAGAUUACACACCUGUCGCCACUGGUUUCAAUGAAGUUAUCUCCUCCGCCGCAUUCUGGUGACGUCAGUUCUCUGCCAUGGUGGUAUCCCAUGCAAAUGGUGACAGUUCGUUCCCUUUGCCGGGUGACCAAUGCAACGGGUGGGUCCUGAGUGUCUCUCCCAAGCCCCAUUUCAAUCCUGUGGCCACUGCCUAUGAAGGCUCGGUUGGCAUUAACCUCCGUAGGAUCAGAAGGUCCGACCAGUUGUUUCAGCGGGAUUGUUUAGUGCUGAGUCACAGCAGUUUGUCUUCGAGAAGCAAGGGAACGGGAGCUUGAAUUCAGCCAAUCCAGGCUCAGUGUGUGUUCUGAGAGGCCCAGACUGUUCGCCUCAGAUCCACGUCAGCUCAGCAUUGCCUAGUGAUCCUGAGCAAACAGCAUUUAGACGGUUUACGACUCCCUAUGCCCACGCAGCUGAAGAGGUCAGAGACUUGAUCUCUCCGCGCCCGCCGCCAUGUUGGAUCAGGGAUAUAGAAUUUUAAUUUAUUCUCAGUUAUUAUAAUGAGCAGGUUAUAAAGUAUUUAGUUAUUUGGGGGCAUUUUCACAUUCUGAAGAGUCACAGACAGCUGUUAGGAUUUAAAAUAUAUAUGCAUGCAUUAAAUAGCAUAAUUAAUAUGUUAAAUAAUAUUUGGACUAUUUUAGAUUUUUUCUUUUUAAAGAAUAUUAUUACUAAAGAGACCUGCAAGUUACAGAUGUACCUCCUAAGGUACAAAAAUAGAUAUUGUGAAGUAGAACCAAAAAUACAUCAUAAUAAAAAUGGAGUACUGAUAUCAUUUAUGAGAAGAAGUUCAAGAGAAAGUGUAGAAAUUCUAAAGUGGAGCUAUUCGGAAGUCUACUGAAUCUGGAACCACAAAAGUUGUCUAGGUAGGAGAUUUAGGGAGGUUGUUGUUAGUAAGAUUGCCCAAGUAUGAAGAGGGAGAAGAUGCCCGAAGAUGGAACACUGGGGUCAACAGCUUUUAAGAGAUAAGCAAGGACACAUUGUCUCCUUGAUGGAGAAAGAGACAACAUGCUCAGAGAAGAUAAUCAGGAGAGAGUGAGGUCAUGGUAGCCAAAGGAGUAGAGAACUUCUAGAAGGGAAGGAGGAAUAAAUCAUGUCAGGUGCUUAUAGAGGUUGAAUAAGGUAAGUAUGGUCUAGUAUUCAUUGCACCAGCCAUUAGAAAUUUGUGGAUUGUUUGGAAGAAAAUAAUGGGUGGCUGGUGAGACCAGAUGCCAGAUCUCAAAUCUUUACCCACUACAUUGACUGGUGAGACAGUAGAGAUAGCAAAGGAAGAUUCUUCUUUUAUCAAGAAAGUUAGCUUUAAAGGAAAGCAGAGUAGAUGAAAACAUAGAAAAGGUUUUUAAAAGAAAUAGCUGAGAGAAGUAGAUUCAGGUAAGUGUUCAGGAAGAAGGGCAGGAAUUCAGAGAUGCCCUCCCUAAGAGGUUCUGCCUUCACAUGGUAAGCCUUGAAGUGGCAGCUGGAGGACUGAAAGAAUUGCCACUGACAGGAGUUGGCCAGGCAUCCGUUGUGUGUGAACAGCAUCAAGAACUCAGCUCAAUAUUAAGACCAUGAAUUUAUUGUCAAGGCUACCUUCACGUUCCUGUACUUUUAUGCUAGCAUGUUUAUGCAGUCUAGCUGUGGGAGGGAAGAUGCAUGGUCAGAUCUACCCAGAGAUUGGAUUUUAUAUAAUAGACAAACAGCAUGUGCAGAGAUCCUGUGGUAUCCAGAUUGGAUUUUAUAUAAUAGACAAACAGUAGAAUAAAGUGGCUAUAAUUUGGAUAUGGUUUGCAGGCUCUAGGAUCUAGUUCCACAAGUAAGAUAUUAAAAUACUUAGCAGGCAUUUGACCAUCUUGUCCACUGAUGUGCCAUCACCAUGUAUCCUGAGUAUCUGGAGCCACUCCUGGUACUACUAUGUGCUCAAUGAAUGUUUUCCAGUGAAUCAUUUUUCCAGAGCUCCAAAGCUUGGCCUUGGUCUGCCUUUACUACGUAACUAGUAGCUAUGAGAUUAUGGAUACAUGAUUUUACACUUUGGUUUCUUCCUGUGUAAAAUAAGAACUUUUCAAAUGUUAAUGAAGCAUUAGAAUUACAUUUGGAACAUGGUAAUUCCAGAUAAACAUUAACUGCUGUUAAAUAUUUUGCUUUCAUUCUCUUACCACUCAUUCUUGUAUAGUCUAACUUUGCCGGAAACAGUGUUUGACACAUAAUAAACAUUCAGUAAAUAUCUAUUGAGUGAACAGAAGGCUUUGUUUUUACUAUGAUAUAUUUAGCAGAUGUUAGUGUCAGUCAAGUGAGAGGCUAGAAGCCUGGUGAUUUAAAAUAUUGCUUUUUGCCUUAGAGAGUUUCAGAAUGUGGUUUAUGAGAGACAUUAACCAAAUAAGCCAAUAAAUGGAAAAUGAAGCCAGGUACCUUUGCGCACACCUGUAAUCCCAGUGGCUUUGGAGGCUGAGGCAGGAGAAUCCUGAGUUCAAAGCCAGCCUCAGCAAAAGCGAGGUGCUAAGCAACUCAGUAAGACCCUGUCUCUAAAUAAAAUACAAAAUAGGGCUGGGAAUGUGACCCAGUGGUCAAGUGCCCCCAAGUUCACUCCCCAGUACAAAAAAAUAUAUAAAUAAAUAAAAUAAAAUGAAACCUGGAAAAUUUUAUGGAGGAUUGUAAUACAAUACUGUGAGAGCCUUUGCUAGAGGACCUUACCAGGGAGAAAAAGUAAGAGUUCACUGAAGAAAUGAUGUUUAAAGCAGGUGGAGAGGGGACUGCAUGUGUAGAAGUCCUAUAGUGUCCAGAGUGGCUGAGGUGGAGUAGUGGGAGUGUGGUCUGAAACCAGGGUUAGGAAGGUGAAUGGAGUCAGACCAUAUUAAGAUUGAAAAAAUUUUAAAAAAAUGGAAAAAAUAUUGGCAAAGUAGAUGCUGCUAGACCAAUUAGGAGACUGCUAUAUCAGUUCCAACAAGAGGUGGUAAUUAUGUAGACUAGGGACAGGUGAUGGUGAUGGUGAUGGUGAAGGGAAAAGUGUUAGGCUUCUGAGGCAUUUGGAAAAUAGUAUUGAUGGGUAGGGUUGAAGAACAGGAAGCUUAUGAAUUUUGAUUUUAAAAAAAUAGUUGAACAAGGCCCUGGGUUCAAUCCCCAGCACACCCCCCCCCACACACACACACACAAAGAGUAGUUGAGAAAAGUAGAUGCAGGUAAGUGUUCAGGAAGGAGGGCAGGAGUUCAGAGAUGCCCUCCCUGGAAGUCCUGCCCUCACAUGGUAAGUCUUGAAGUGGCAGAUAGGGGACUGCAAAGAUUGCCAAACACUUUGGCUGUGUUUGAUCUACCUUGAAGACAUCCAAAAAGAAUUAACAGUUGGGCUGGGGAUGUGGCUUAAGCGGUAGCGCGCUCACCUGGCAUGCGUGCAGCCCGGGUUCGAUCCUCAGCACCACAUACAAACAAAGAUGUUGUGUCCACCGAAAACUAAAAAAUAAAUAUUAAAAAAAUCCUCUCUCUCUCUCUCUCUCUCUCUCUCUCUCUACUUAAAAAAAAAAAAAAAGAGUUAACAGUUAACAAUUGGAUGUACAAGCAUGGAGCUCAGAAAAGACCAAGUUAGAGUUGGUGGUUAUUUGAAGGGAUAUGUGUGAACAAAAUCUUGAGCAAGAAUAUGGCAGGAUAAGAGGAAAGGGCCUGGAAUUGAGUCUUGAAUAGUAAUGUUUCAUGGUUGCAGAGAGGAAGUUAAACCUCCAAGGGAAACAGAGGAAGGGACCAUCACAGUUCACAGAAGGCAGGAAAGGGAGCAGCCCACUGUGGAGGCUGCUAGGAGGGCAAGUGAGAGUAGUCUUGGGGUUGGGAGAGAGUAGGUCUUGGGAGACCUUUCUGAACAGCUGUGUGGGGACUGAUGCAGGUGAAAGGGGAGGCAGUGAGAGCAUGAGCCUGUGGCCAACUCUACAGGGUGUUCACUUCACCAGGUCUAACAGGGCAGAGAACCAUAACCAAGUUCAGGUUACAAUUUCAUCAUGCAAAGUAUUUAACCAAAUGUAUCUUUCUUUAUGCAUUCCAAGGAUCUACCGAUUUUGGAAAUGUUUCUUUUGUGGUCCCUGGAAUUCAUCCAUAUUUUUACAUUGGAUCCAACGCCUUGAAUCAUACUGAAGAGUACACUAAAGCUGCAGGUAGGCUGUUGAGAGUGCAGGUUUUCACAUGUGCUCACUCUUUUCCUAGCAGUAGUGCCUUUCUAACUAUUUAGUUUAGCUUGUUAUUUCAGAAAUAGAUUCCUUGGUGGGUAGUUGGAGAGGCAACUUAGGGAUUGGGACUUAACCUGAGGAAUUGAUAAGUUGAUUUUUAAUAAACAUAGAAAUAUUUUAAUUCAUUUUCUCUGUCCUUUAGGAUCACAAGAAGCUCAGUUCUACACUUUGCGAACAGCCAAGGCUCUAGCAAUGACUGCAUUGGAUGUUAUUUUUAAACCAGAAUUGCUGGAAAGAAUUAGAGAGGACUUUAAAUUAAAACUUCAGGAAGAACAAUUUUUAAAUACAGUAGAAUAAAAAGGAGACUUAGGAGUGGUUUAUGAAUCAUUAAGAAGUGAUGAUUUUUUUUUCUUUAAUCUUUUUUAAUGAAGAGAACAUGCUUGUUUUUAAUCUUAAAGGAAUCAAAUUCUCCUUACCUGAUAUGUAAGAACAGGGUAUGGUGAAAACAUAUUCACUCAUAUCUAAAAUGAAAUUUUUGGGUGAAUCUAUACUUGAUGGAAUUGUGAUAUUUCAGGAGUUGAUAGGUGAUACUGCUGCUUAAGAUGGAUGGUACAUGAUGUGUCAAAAUAAUAUUGACAAAAUCUGUAUAAUAAUUUACAGAUUUAUAUAUUAUAUAUUUUAAAAGGUCCAAGAGGUUUUAAACCUUAUAUACAGAAUUGACACCCACGAAAUGGUUUUGUGGUACAGAGUAGUAAACUUAUUUAAUGUAGUUUUAAAGUUCAUGGUCUAAAUUUAGGUAAAGUUUGUUUCAAAUAUUUCUGUUUUUGCUUCAAAAAAUCUCUUCAUUUAUAAUAAAAGUAGCUUUUAAUUAGAAAUGCUUACGGGUAACAACUAGAAACUCAGAUACAAAGAAUAACUUUAGUUUUACCAUUUGAAGAAAAAUGAGAAGAAUGUUCUAGUUUUUACACAUGAUCAACUCUGGGAAGUGGCAUUAAAGUAAUUGGUAAUUCAAUAUUACAGUAAGAGGGUAAAUGUUGGAUGGUCAGGAUCGGACUCUUCCUUUAAGGCAUUUGCAUGGUAGCCCUGAGUGUUCUAGGAGAACUCCGGGAGGAGCAUUGGCUGGCACCUACUCUGCUCUCUGGAAUGUUCAGAAUCCUGCACUGCCCCUCCAGCCAGCAGCCUGCUCAGGCUCCCACUCAGAAGCCAGCUUGCCCCACCUGGCUGCACUGAAUUUUGAGCCUCCUUAAGCCUCCUGCUAGCCCAAUAUUUUUAAAAAAUUAUUACAGGUUUUCCAUGAUUCUUAUUUUAGUGUGAAUUUCUUGAACAUGCUAAAAAGAAUGUGUGAAAAAAAUAUUUGGUAAAACAGAUAUUUUAAGCUGUGAAUGCAGUAAAGCUCCAAUGUACUUUAUUUUAAAGGAAGUCCUCAGCUUUGAACAAGCAUUCCAGAAAUGGAAGGGGAAGGAGAGAAAGUGUCCAUUUGGCUUUUAUGGUAUAAUAAGCAAGUCACUUGGGCCCUCUGAGCUAUCAACUCACUUUUUGAAAAGUUAGAUCUUCUACUUACAGUCUUUUGAACCCCUAAUUCCUGCUGUAAUUAUUUAAAAUUGCAAGAGAGGUGGUUGUGUUUGGGAGAGUUAGUAGUUGAGAACUGCCUUUCUUCUGUAUAAGAGUCUGUGGGUUAUGUGCCUGAUUUUGGCAUGUAGCUGCCUUCUUUUUUUUAAAACCUGCCAAGAAUGGGUUUAUGUUUUUUAAAGGGUUGCUAAACAAAACAAAACAGAGACUAAAUAAUAUGACCUGCAAAACCUAACAUCUUUGCUGUCUGGCCUUUUACAAAAAAGGUUGCCAGCCCUGGCUGUAUAUAACAGUAAAAUAAAAUCUGUGUCUCUUUGACUUAGGUCAUAUGGUCGGAUCUUCUGGAAUAAAACUUCAUAAAGAAACCCCAUAUCUUUUAGCAAUGACUUCUAAUGCUGUGAUUAGAAAUAAUUUCUUUCUUAACCCUCACACUUCAAAGGUAUUUUCAUAAACCUUUACUUAACUGAAAUUACCAUUGGUUGGUUUUUACAACAUCAAAUUUCUAAAUAUUUUAAAAUGUAAAGAGAGAAGUGUUAACUUAUAUCUAAACAAAGUGUUCCUUUUAGAAAAGGAAAGAUUCUGUUCAUCUCCUCCUCCUUUUUUUUUUGAGACCAGGACUCACUAACCUUGAACUUUUAGUUCUCUUGCCUCAGCCUCCCAAGUAGCUGGGUUUGAGGCAUGUAUCAUAGCACCUAGCUUUACCUCUUUAUUCUUACAAGAUGAAUGUUAAUUCUUAGGUGGUUAGCAAAUAAGACUCAUUUUUUUUUUAAAGACUGAGAGGGAGAGAGAGAGAGAGAGAGAGAGAGAGAGAGAGAGAAUUUUAAUAUUUAUUUUUUAGUUCUCGGCGGACACAACAUCUUUGUAUGUGGUGCUGAGGAUUGAACCCGGGCCGCACGCAUGCCAGGCGAGCGCGCUACCACUUGAGCCACAUCCUCAGCCCAAGACUCAUUUUUUUAAAAAAAUAUUUUGUGGUUGUAGACGGACACAAUACCUUUAUUUAUUUAUCUUUAUGUGGUGCUGAGGAUCGAACCCAGUGCCUCACCCAUGCUAGGCAAAUGCUCUACACUGAGUCACAACCCCAGCCCAAGACUCUUUUAUUUAGAAUAUUUAUAUUGUUUUUGAAGAAUGAGAUAACCAAGUUUUUGUUCAUUAGUUUCAUGACAUUUUAUUAUCACUAACACAUUCUGUGAUUAUAUAUAGUUUUCCUUCACUGCCUAUAUAUUUGAAGCUGGUGUGUGCAUAUUUUAAAUUUUAUUUUAUUUUGAUACUGGGAAUUAAACCCAGAGGUACUCUACCUUUGAGCUAUAUCCCUAGCCCCUGCCCCCUCUUUUUUUAUACCAAGGAUUGAUCCCAGGGCCAAUUAAUCACUAAGCCACAUCCUCAUCCCUUUUUAUUUUUUGAAUUUGAGACAAGACUUGCUAACUUGCUGAGGCUGACCUCGAACUUGUGAUUCUCCUCCCUCAGCCACUGGAGUAUUUAGGAUUACAGACAUGUGUCACCGUGCUUGGAUUGUUUUAAAAUUCUUAACAGUAUCUAGCAUAGUAGUUUACCUGGGAAUAUUCAGUACUUUUUGUUUUGUUUUGAUUGGAGUACUGGUGGUUGAACCCAGAGGCACCCUACCACUGAACUACAUCCCCAUACCUUUUUAAUUUUCAAAUGGGGUAUCUUUAAUUUGCUCAGGCUUCCCUUAAACAUGAUUCUCCUGCCUUCUGUCCUUUUUGAAUGAGAAAAUACUGCAUCCUUGCUUGAAAUCAUUAAAGUUUAAAAUAGCUCUGUGGAGAGAUCAUAGGUACAAAAUAUGUUUUAAUUUUGUGAACAUAGCAAUCUUUUGUACAAUCUGGAGUAGAAAUAGAUACCUUAUAUUACUUUGCUUCAGAUACAGGAAAACGAGAUUCAUUUUUGAAAAAGCUGCACUGGUUUAAUGCAAAGUUUAAAAUUAUAAGAUUUUAAAGAAUUAGUUUCUGAUCUAAAAUUAGUUUCUUGAGGUGUCUGUUUUAUGGAAAGGUCUUUUAUUGCAUGCAUUUAUAAUCUUUCAUGCUCAUACCCUACACUUUAAGCUUUUCCCUCAAAUACCAACUUUGGGCUGUGUUAAAUUAGUAUGCUUUAAAAGAUGUAAUGUAAAUUAAUGGUUUAAAUAUAAUUACAAACUGAAGAUGCUUUUGCUAUAGUGACAGUUUUAAGCAGGCUUGAAUAUGGGACCCUGUAAAACAAUUAUGUGUUAUAGGCUGAAUAUCUCUUAUCUGAAAUGCUUGGGGGCCAGAAGUGGUAUUUUGUUUUUUUGUUUUUGUUUGGUACCAAAGAUGCUUAGCCAGUGAGCCACAUUUUCAGCCGUUUUUUAUUUUUUAUUUCGAGACAAGGUCUUGCUAAGUUGCUUAAGGUGUCUCUAAAUUGAAGAGGUUGACCUUGAACUUGUGAUCUUCCUGCCUCUGUCUCCUAAAUCACUGGGAUUACAGGUGUGUGCCACCACACCCAGCCAGAAGUGUUUUGGAUUUGGGAGUUUAUUUGGAUUUUGAAAUAUUACAUAUCCAUAAUAAGAUAUCUUGGGGGAUGCCACCCAAGUUUAACCACAGAAUUUCUUCAUGUUUGCAUAUAUAUAUAUAUAUAUAUAUAUAUAUAUAUAUAUAUAUAUAUACAUACACACACACACACACACACACUUGGGCCAAAGAUAAUUUUAUAGAGUAUUUUUAGUGUGCCUGCAUUUUGACUGCAACCUGUCACAUGAAGUCAAGUGUGAAAUUUUUCACUUGUACAAUGUUGGCAUUCAGAAAGUUUGGGAUUUUGGAUCAUUUUGGGUUUUCAGAUUAGGGAUAUUCAACCUGUUUUAUUAAUUACCAAGUUGCUAUAUAAGAUUGAAUGCAGUUAGUAUUUAGCUUGUCUCUUAAAAUUUUGGGCUGCUUUUUAGUCUUGCAAAUUCUCCUUAUUUGAACCACUCAGGACAUUUUCCUCUUUUCAUUGCUUCCCUCUGUAGCACUCAGAAGUGCUGGGGCAUUUUGGAUAAACUAGAACAUUUUGUAUGUUUAUAAAUAUGUAUGUGAACUUAAAGCAUUUUGAUUUUCCACAAAGUUAUUUUCUUUGAUAUUUUAGCUUGUAAUCUUGACAUUUGAGCUCAAUAAACAUUUGUUGAAGAGUGCCUAUUUCUAAGAACUUGGUGAAAGAAUAAGACAAAGUCUCUGCUCAGAAAGCUUGCUGUUGGUGGCAAAUUCUCACUUCUUAAUUCUUUCUUCAUCUGAACAACACUGGGGCUGAAGCAACAACUGAAAGCUAUUGUCUUGGAAUUUUUUGAAAAAGUGUUUCUAAAAUAUUUUAAAAUAUCUGAGUUUCCCCAAUCUGUUUGAACAGAAGAAAUUGAUGUGCAAAAAUUUUUUAAAAAAAAGGAACGAAUGUCUUGUUUGAUAAUAUAUUCUGUAAAAAAAAAAUAUUAAAACCUUUCUGAUAGUUUUUGUGCAGUUCUAACUUUUUACCUUAAGAAGUCUUUUGGUAAAUGUCCUACAUACACCAGCCUUCGCAUUGUCAAAAUGAAUUUUCAUUAUAAGAUAAAUGUUGUCUUGGUGCUGUCUAGCAAUUUUUGUAAGGCUGCAAGCUAUGACAAAAUACUUUUUUUUUUUUUUUUUUACUUCAAGCAUCUUGUAGUACAAUUAUGGUUGAGGGUGGUGCAUUUUGAUGUGUGAAGUUGAAAUUUUCAAGUAAGCAAUCACUCUACUACCAUCAGAUUAUGAUAAUUUUUGUAAUAUUUUAAUAUAUAUUAAAAUGUGUAUGAAAUAUAAAAUGUUAAGUAUGUUUAAUAACACUUGUUAUUUUUAAAAUGAUGUAUAUGAAAAUACAUGAAGAUAAAGCACAAUUACCCAAAUGCACUAUGGUAAUACUGUAUUUUAUUAAUUUAUCAGUAUUGUAGGUGUUAGGUUGCCUUUCAGCUGUAUAAAUGCCACAUAUUAU
rnacentral:lncRNA from 1 species